rnacentral:rRNA from 1 species
GUUGAACGCUGGCGGCAGGCCUAACACAUGCAAGUCGAGCGGAUGAAGGGAGCUUGCUCCUGGAUUCAGCGGCGGACGGGUGAGUAAUGCCUAGGAAUCUGCCUGGUAGUGGGGGAUAACGUCCGGAAACGGGCGCUAAUACCGCAUACGUCCUGAGGGAGAAAGUGGGGGAUCUUCGGACCUCACGCUAUCAGAUGAGCCUAGGUCGGAUUAGCUAGUUGGUGGGGUAAAGGCCUACCAAGGCGACGAUCCGUAACUGGUCUGAGAGGAUGAUCAGUCAAACUGGAACUGAGACACGGUCCAGACUCCUACGGGAGGCAGCAGUGGGGAAUAUUGGACAAUGGGCGAAAGCCUGAUCCAGCCAUGCCGCGUGUGUGAAGAAGGUCUUCGGAUUGUAAAGCACUUUAAGUUGGGAGGAAGGGCAGUAAGUUAAUACCUUGCUGUUUUGACGUGACCAACAGAAUAAGCACCGGCGAACUUCGU